GUGCUUGCUUUGAGAGCACAUAUAUUAAAAUUGUAACAAUACAGAGAAGAUUAGCAUGGCCCCCUACACAAAGGUAACACACAAAUUUGUGAAGUGUUCCAUAUUUAA
ensembl:snRNA U6 U6 spliceosomal RNA